ACAGGAAAGGGUUGUGCCGUGGAUACGUACCACAGUCCUGGAGGCACGCACAAGUGGUUUUCAUACCGAAAGCGGGCAGGCUCGGUCAUGAUUCCGUGAAGGCCUUUCGACCAAUCAGCCUGACCUCUUUCGGGCUGAAGACCCUAGAGCGCGUCCAGGACAUUCACUUAACAUUCACACCAGCUGAUAGAAGACAACCCCCAAAAUCAUUGCUGGAGGUGGUAUUAAUCGACAAACCUCUUAUCAAUGUCCGAGCACGCUAUCAGGACAUUCAGAUCAGCCAUCACGAUCACCAUCUCAUCUCUAGGAACAUCAUUUCCUGGAGUUCUUCUAGUAUCCAUUGCAAGAUUUUAUGUAUGGUGGAGCUACUAGAAGUGCUGGGGAAGCUUAACAAAAUGUUCAGCUAAUGUUUGACAAAUAAGUGCAUAUUCCAGAAAGAACAAACAGAAGGCAAACAAACUGCAUAUGGGGCGGCCAAAUCAGCAGUCAAACAAAUACUGGAAAAAGGGCAUUGAACGACAGCCGAAGAGUUCCUAGUCUCUGCAGUAAAAAAUGUUUGCAUUUCAGUAACGAAUUGUUGUAUAAAAUAAAGUAGUUUAGAAUUGAUAAAUGCGAUGAAUGAAAGAAAUAUCACUUCCACUAACUUUCCUAUUUUUUCCGAUCGCAAUGACGAUUAGGAGCAAAACUAAAAUUAUAAUAAUUUAUAUGCGAGUAUUUAGAAGCAUUGUCUUUGCUUGAGCAAUUAACAGUUAUGUGAUGACUUCUGUGGGCACUUUAGUUGCCACCACACUAUUGAAUUUAAUUAGAAAUAAUCCUAUUAUAUGUUCAAACUAUGGUAAUAGGGCGCGAAUAUGUUUCGAAUGAUUUUUACUCGACCUUGAAUAAUUAAUAAAUUAGAAAUUUAUUAGGCGUAAAAUUAUAUGAAUUGAUUCACAUUA